rnacentral:rRNA from 1 species
UACGAAGGGGGCUAGCGUUGUUCGGAAUUACUGGGCGUAAAGCGCACGUAGGCGGAUAUUUAAGUCAGGGGUGAAAUCCCGGGGCUCAACCUCGGAAUUGCCUUUGAUACUGGGUAUCUUGAGUAUGGAAGAGGUAAGUGGAAUUGCGAGUGUAGAGGUGAAAUUCGUAGAUAUUCGCAGGAACACCAGUGGCGAAGGCGGCUUACUGGUCCAUUACUGACGCUGAGGUGCGAAAGCGUGGGGAGCAAACAGG